rnacentral:lncRNA from 1 species
GAGACGGAGCCUUGCUCUGUCGCCCAGGCUCACUGCAAGCCCCGCCUCCCGGGCUCAGCCAUUCUCCUGCCUCAGCCUCCCAGGUAGCUGGGAUUACAGAAUUAAUUUUUUUCUUCAAGUUUCUUUGUUAUGGAAAAAAAAAAUACUCUCCUGCUAGUCCUCAAAUAACAAAUUCAUUGUAAUCAAUAUACUUACCGUGACUGGAAAUAUCAAAGUAACAUACGACUACUUAAGCUGGGCACAGUGGCUCACACCUAUAAUCCCAGCACUUUGGGAGGCCGAGGCAGGCACAUCACAAGGUCGGGAGUUCGAGAUCAGCCUGGCCAAUAUGGUGAAACCCCAUCUACUAAAAAUACAAAAAUUAGCUGGGCAUGGUAGCAGGUGCCUAUAGUCCCAGCUACUCAGGAGGCUGAGGCAGGAGAAUAGCUUGAACCCGGGAGGCAGAGAUUGCAGUGCGCCGAGAUUGUGCUACUGCACUCCAGCCUGGUUGACAGAGCAAAACUCUGUCUCAAAAAAAAAACAACUAAUGGAAUAAAAACAACUGGAAAUAAAGCUGGGUGCAGUGGCUCAUGCCUGUAAUCCCAACACUCUGGGAGGCAGAGGCAGGUGGAUCAUUUGAGGUCAGGAGUUCAAGACCAACCUGUCCAACAUGGUAAAACCCCAUCUCUACUAAAAAUACAAAAAUUAACAGGGUGGUAGUGGCGCACGCCUGUAAUCCCAGCUAUCUAUAGGCUGAGGCAGGAGAAUUGCUUGAGACUGGGAGAUGGAGGUUGAGGUGAGCCGAGAUCGUGCCACUGCACUCCAGCCUAGGCUAGAGAGUGAGACCCUCUCAAAAACAAACAAAAAAACUGGAAAUAGGUAAAUUUCUUUUUCUGUACAGAGAACUUCUUUCUAUGUUAAAGGUAGAAUUUCCUAUUAAACAGAUAGGUUACUGUAUUAAAGUUUUCUGAUACCUUAGUUACAUGACUUUAAGUUGGGUCUAGACAGCAACAUGUUGAAUGUCACUCAUUCUUAUCACUUAUGCCCUACUCCAUCAAAAGUAUACUUGAAUACAGCCAUCACGAACCUAAAAACAGAACAACAACCCUAAUCCAAAGAUCAGUGAGCUUAACUAUGUAAAAUUUGAAUACAAACUUACUGACUUACGGGAGGCGGGGGUGGGGGGACCAUUUAAACAGACAGAUCUGGACAUUAGCCUUAUGCUCAAUCUUCAAGUUAAAAAGACACAUCAGAGGUCAUUUAGAGAUCAAUUUAGUAUUCAAAUAUAUUGCUCACUUCUAUUUGAAGCUACUUCACCUAGAUCAGAGAGUUUACAUUUGUAAAUGUAACUUCAGUAUACAACGUCCAGGGGCACAGCCACUCUAAAGUGCCACAAAAGUAAACUGUUUAAGUGGCCAAAGAAAUUAAGAAUAUGUAACAAAUCCUGUGUUCCCACAGCACCUUGUCACAGCUCUAAUACAGAUCUCAUCACGGUAUCAUCUCUCUCUCCCCAUACUGCAGAUGUGGAGGUACUGUGCUCAAG